rnacentral:rRNA from 1 species
AAGAUUAAGCCAUGCAUGUCUCAGUACUUGCUUUUACAAGGCGAAACCGCGAAUGGCUCAUUAAAUCAGUUAUGGUUCAUUAGAUCGUAAAUUUUACACGGAUAACUGUGGUAAUUCUAGAGCUAAUACGUGCAAUUAGCUCGCUUCCUUGUGGAGCGAGCGCAGUUAUUAGAUCAAAACCAAUCCGGCCUUCGGGUCGGUACAAUUGGUGACUCUGAAUAACCGAAGCGGAGCGCAUGGUCUCGUACCGGCGCCAGAUCUUUCAAGUGUCUGACUUAUCAGCUUGUUGUUAGGUUACGUUCCUAACAAGGCUUCAACGGGUAACGGGGUAUCAGGGUCCGAUACCGGAGAGGGAGCCUGAGAAACGGCUACCACAUCCAAGA